GUCCACGCUGUAAACGAUGGGCACUAGGUGUCCGGGGUAUUGACCCCCUGGGUGCCGUCGCUAACGCAUUAAGUGCCCCGCCUGGGGAGUACGAUCGCAAGAUUAAAACUCAAAGGAAUUGACGGGGGCCCGCACAAGCGGUGGAGCAUGUGGUUCAAUUCGACGCAACGCGAAGAACCUUACCUGGGCUAGACAACGGUGGACCGCCCUAGAGAUAGGGUUUCCCUUCGGGGACUGCCGGUUCAGGUGCUGCAUGGCUGUCGU
rnacentral:rRNA from 1 species